AUGGACUUUUUUACUGAGUAUGGUGAGGGAAACAGAUACAAGAUAGAAGAGGUUAUAGGAAAAGGGAGUUACGGCGUGGUCUGCUCUGCUUUGGAUACUCACACCGGUGAGAAAGUUGCUAUCAAGAAGAUAAACGACAUCUUUGAACAUGUGUCUGAUGCGACACGGAUACUCCGCGAGAUCAAGUUGCUUAGGCUCCUAAGACAUCCCGAUAUCGUGGAAAUAAAACAUAUUCUACUUCCUCCAUCGAGGAGAGAGUUCAAGGACAUAUACGUUGUUUUCGAACUCAUGGAGUCUGAUUUGCACCAAGUUAUAAAGGCGAAUGAUGACUUGACUCCAGAACAUUAUCAGUUUUUCUUGUAUCAGUUGCUCCGAGGAUUGAAAUACAUACAUACAGCAAAUGUAUUUCAUCGAGAUCUCAAACCAAAGAAUAUCUUGGCUAAUGCUGAUUGUAAGCUCAAAAUAUGUGAUUUCGGUCUCGCAAGGGUAGCUAUAAGUGAUACUCCAACCGCAAUAUUUUGGACGGAUUAUAUCGCAACAAGGUGGUACCGAGCACCUGAGCUAUGUGGAUCUUUUUUCUCCAAGUAUACACCAGCAAUAGAUAUAUGGAGUAUUGGAUGUAUAUUUGCGGAACUUCUAACUGGCAAACCUCUUUUUCCUGGGAAAAAUGUGGUGCAUCAACUUGAUAUAAUCACAGACCUCCUCGGAACGCCUGCUCCAGAAACAAUUGCUAGGAUUCGAAAUGAGAAGGCCAGGCGCUACUUGAGCAGUAUGAGGCGGAAAAAGCCUGUACCGUUUACGCAGAAGUUUCCGAAUGCAGAUCCACUUGCAUUAAAUUUGUUAGAGAGAAUGCUAGCAUUUGAUCCAAAAGACCGGCCAAGUGCUGAAGAGGCUCUUGCUGAUCUUUAUUUCAAGAACAUAGCUAGUGUGGAUAGGGAGCCUUCUGCACAGCCCAUUACUAAGCUUGAAUUCGAGUUUGAGAGACGAAGAAUUACGAAGGACGACAUAAGGGAACUCAUAUACAGAGAAAUUCUGGAAUAUCAUCCAAACAUGCUGAGGGAAUUCCUUGAGGGGGCAGAGCCAACUAAUUUCAUGUACCCAAGUGCAGUAGAUCAUUUCAAAAAACAAUUCACAUUCCUUGAAGAGCAUUAUGCAAAGGGAUCAACAGCAGCACCGCCUGAGAGGCAACAUAAUUCAUUACCAAGGCCGAGUGUUAUCUAUUCGGAUAACCGACCACAGGGUUCAGAUAGCCGGCCACAGGGUGCAGCCAACAUUACGGAUGAUCUUUCCAGGUGUAUAAUCAGAGAUAAUACACAAAAGCCACGCAGAGAUCCUGCUUCAGUUGGUGCAAACAGAGUUCCUCAAGGUAAGCACCUGGGUGCUGCUGUCGCAAGGCCUGGUAAAGUGGUUGGCUCGGCACUUCGUUAUGGUAAUUGUUCAACACCUGGUACUGAGCAAUAUGAACAGCGCAGGGUCAUCACAAGCCAAGGAGUCGUUCCAAACGGUGUUCCUUCAGGCAGCUCAUACCCUAGAAGAAAUAACACCUGCAAGAGCGAAACAGGUGAAGCUGAAAGGAUAGACGUGAGCCAAGCUGGGCCACCAAAGCCAUAUACAGGAAAUAAACUACCUGCAACCGUGGAUGGCCGCAACGGGCACUGGUAG
rnacentral:rRNA from 1 species